rnacentral:rRNA from 1 species
GACGAACGCUGGCGGCGUGCCUAAUACAUGCAAGUAGAACGCACAGUUUAUACCGUAGCUUGCUACACCAUAGACUGUGAGUUGCGAACGGGUGAGUAACGCGUAGGUAACCUGCCUGGUAGCGGGGGAUAACUAUUGGAAACGAUAGCUAAUACCGCAUAAUAUUGAUUAUUGCAUGAUAAUUGAUUGAAAGAUGCUAUUGCAUCACUACCAGAUGGACCUGCGUUGUAUUAGCUAGUAGGUGAGGUAACGACUCACCUAGGCGACGAUACAUAGCCGACCUGAGAGGGUGAUCGGCCACACUGGGACUGAGACACGGCCCAGACUCCUACGGGAGGCAGCAGUAGGGAAUCUUCGGCAAUGGACGAAAGUCUGAACGAGCAACGCCGCGUGAGUGAAGAAGGUUUUCGGAUCGUAAAGCUCUGUUGUAAGAGAAGAACGGGUGUGAGAGUGGAAAGUUCACACUGUGACGGUAGCUUACCAGAAAGGGACGGCUAACUACGUG